GACGAACGCUGGCGGCGUGCUUAACACAUGCAAGUCGAACGGAAAGGCCCUGCUUUUGUGGGGUGCUCGAGUGGCGAACGGGUGAGUAACACGUGAGUAACCUGCCCUUGACUUUGGGAUAACUUCAGGAAACUGGGGCUAAUACCGGAUAGGAGCUCCUGCUGCAUGGUGGGGGUUGGAAAGUUUCGGCGGUUGGGGAUGGACUCGCGGCUUAUCAGCUUGUUGGUGGGGUAGUGGCUUACCAAGGCUUUGACGGGUAGCCGGCCUGAGAGGGUGACCGGGAACCGUGGGACGAGACGCGGCGCAGAACGCGAAGGGGAGGGAGAGGGGGUGAACAUGGAGCAAGGGGCGGAGGGCGGUAGCACGACGGCGGGGGGCGGGAGGAGGGCUGGGGGGUUGUAGACCGAGUCCGCGUGGGGCGAAGCGGGAGUGGGGUUAAGGGGUAAAGAAGCAGCGGCUCACGACGGGCCAGCAUCCGCGGUCAGGAAGAGGAGCACCGGUCGGACC
rnacentral:rRNA from 1 species